rnacentral:rRNA from 1 species
UACGGGGGAGGCAAGCGUUGUUCGGAUUUACUGGGCGUAAAGGGCGCGUAGGCGGCGCAACAAGUCACUUGUGAAAUCUCCGGGCUUAACCCGGAGCGGUCAAGUGAUACUGUCGUGCUAGAGUGCGGAAGGGGCUACUGGAAUUCUCGGUGUAGCGGUGAAAUGCGUAGAUAUCGAGAGGAACACCUGCGGCGAAGGCGGGUAGCUGGGCCGACACUGACGC